AUCGCUUCUUGGCCUUUUGACUAAGAUCAAGUGUAGUAUCUGUUCUUAUCAGUUUAAAAUAGCAAGAUAGAUGGAGGAAAAUGAGACAGAAAAAGGAAUAGAUGGAAGGUGACUUGGAGUGUUUGUCUCUUCAUGGAAAUGACUGGACAUAAUUUUAAAAUCUUUAGGUAAAACUGAAGUCACUCCUC